CACGUAGGGGGCAAGCGUUGUCCGGAUUUAUUGGGCGUAAAGAGCUCGUAGGUGGUUCGGUAAGUCGGGUGUGAAACCUCCAGGCUCAACCUGGAGACGCCACCUGAUACUGCUGUGACUGGAGUCCGGUAGGGGAGCGUGGAAUUCCUGGUGUAGCGGUGAAAUGCGCAGAUAUCAGGAGGAACACCAGCGGCGAAGGCGGCGCUCUGGGCCGGUACUGACACUGAGGAGCGAAAGCGUGGGGAGCGAACAGG
rnacentral:rRNA from 1 species